AGAGUUUGAUCCUGGCUCAGGAUGAACGCUGGCGGCGUGCUUAACACAUGCAAGUCGAACGAUCCUUCGGGAUAGUGGCGGACGGGUGAGUAACGCGUGGGAAUCUGCCCUCAGGAGGGGGAUAACGGCUGGAAACGGCCGCUAAUACCCCAUAUGCCGAGAGGUGAAAUGAAUUUCGCCUGAGGAUGAGCCCGCGUCUGAUUAGCUAGUUGGUGGGGUAAAGCCUACCAAGGCAACGAUCAGUAGCUGGUCUGAGAGGAUGAUCAGCCACACUGGGACUGAGACACGGCCCAGACUCCUACGGGAGGCAGCAGUGGGGAAUUUUCCGCAAUGGGCGAAAGCCUGACGGAGCAACGCCGCGUGAGGGAUGAAGGCCUCUGGGCUGUAAACCUCUUUUCUCAAGGAAGAAGACCUGACGGUACUUGAGGAAUAAGCCACGGCUAAUUCCGUGCCAGCAGCCGCGGUAAUACGGGAGUGGCAAGCGUUAUCCGGAAUUAUUGGGCGUAAAGCGUCCGCAGGCGGCCUUGUAAGUCUGUUGUUAAAGCGUGGAGCUCAACUCCAUUUAAGCAAUGGAAACUACAAGGCUGGAGUGUGGUAGGGGCAGAGGGAAUUCCCGGUGUAGCGGUGAAAUGCGUAGAUAUCGGGAAGAACACCAGUGGCGAAGGCGCUCUGCUGGGCCAUAACUGACGCUCAUGGACGAAAGCCAGGGGAGCGAAAGGGAUUAGAUACCCCUGUAGUCCUGGCCAUAAACGAUGAACACUAGGUGUCGGGGGAAUCGACCCCCUCGGUGUCGUAGCCAACGCGUUAAGUGUUCCGCCUGGGGAGUACGCACGCAAGUGUGAAACUCAAAGGAAUUGACGGGGGCCCGCACAAGCGGUGGAGUAUGUGGUUUAAUUCGAUGCAACGCGAAGAACCUUACCAGGGUUUGACAUCCUGCGAACCCCUGAGAAAUCGGGGGGUGCCUUCGGGAGCGCAGAGACAGGUGGUGCAUGGCUGUCGUCAGCUCGUGUCGUGAGAUGUUGGGUUAAGUCCCGCAACGAGCGCAACCCACGUCUUUAGUUGCCAGCAUUCAGUUGGGCACUCUAGAGAGACCGCCGGUGAUAAACCGGAGGAAGGUGUGGAUGACGUCAAGUCAUCAUGCCCCUUACAUCCUGGGCUACACACGUACUACAAUGCUACGGACAAAGGGCAGCAAGCUCGCGAGAGUUAGCAAAUCCCAUAAACCGUGGCUCAGUUCAGAUCGUAGGCUGCAACUCGCCUACGUGAAGGAGGAAUCGCUAGUAAUCGCAGGUCAGCAUACUGCGGUGAAUACGUUCCCGGGCCUUGUAC
rnacentral:rRNA from 1 species